rnacentral:rRNA from 1 species
CCUACGGGAGGCUGCAGUGGGGAAUAUUGGGCAAUGGGCGCAAGCCUGACCCAGCCACGCCGCGUGAAGGAAGAAGGCUUUCGGGUUGUAAACUUCUUUUGUCAGGGAAGAGUAGAAGACGGUACCUGCCGAAUCAGCCAUGGCUAACUACGUGACAGCAGCCGCGGUAAUCCGUAGGUGGCAAGCGUUGUCCGGAUUUACUGGGUGUAAAGGGCGUGUAGCCGGGUUGACAAGUCAGAUGUGAAAUCCUGCGGCUUAACCGCAGAACUGCAUUUGAAACUGUUGAUCUUGAGUACUGGAGAGGCAGAUGGAAUUCCUAGUGUAGCGGUGAAAUGCGUAGAUAUUAGGAGGAACACCAGUGGCGAAGGCGGUCUGCUGGACAGCAACUGACGGUGAGGCGCGAAAGCGUGGGGAGCAAACAGGAUUAGAUACCCCUGUAGUC